AAGCAGAUUAAAUGUUGUCGUUCUACUUGCCCAAUCAGCGUCAAAUCCUUUACCGUCCUUUCAUUUCAAAACUUCCUUUCCUUCUUCAAGACGUUUCCAACCUUCCAAUGGCAUACUUUAAUCAUAACUGUCUCCACCUUCUCAGACUCCCCUCCUUCCACUCCUUCCCUUUUAUGGUUCAAUCGGGCUCUCUCACCCUUUCACAUGCCGUUUGAACUUCCGCAUCUUCAGGGACCCUCCCGACCAGGUAAACUCCUUCAUUUCUUUUCAAUGUUUCCUUUGCAAGGAUAUGCGUAAGACUAUUCGCUGAUCUUGGGACAUAUUCGAAACUGCACUCUUUAAAUUUUAGCCUUAGCUGAUGAAUAUCAUAGAUAUACGCACUUACCCAAGAUUUAUCUAGGUUCUUUUCCUUGCAUUUUCUUAUUAUUGAUAAUGAGUCUCCUUCUAUAAUAAUACUUUCCCAUUUCAUGCCAAUUCCUGUUUGGAGAGCUUUCCGACAUGCUACUGCCUCCGCCGCAAAAACUGAAGUUAUUCGAUGAUGGAUCUCUAAACAUGAAAGGAGGACUGAACCCUCUCUAUCUCUGGCUACUAUUCCCAUUGCCGAUCUAUUUUGUCUACCAUCAUAUGCUGCAUCAAAGUUGAUCCUAACCAUCCGAUUUGCCCCAUUUCUUAUGAACCCUAGCAUUUCUAUCUCCCCAGAUAGCCCAUAGUGCACAACAAAAUAUUCUACAUUGGGAAGUCGAGCUCUAUGAAAAAACCCAGGACACUCCCGGAAAAGGUGAUCCAUAUUCUCUGGUCUUAAGCCACACCGGGGGCACGCUGUUGUAUUUGUUAGCUUUUUAAAUACCAGAUUAACUCGUGUAGCUAGGAAAUUCCACGAGAUCUUUCACACUGUAAUUUUAAUCUUGGAAGGUAUAUCCAGUAGCCAUAAUUUAUUAUAGAAGUCCUUAUAGUCGUCUUGAAAAGCAAAAGCUCUAGGAUUAUCUUCAGUACCUUGUAAUAGUUUAUAGACACUGCGCACUGUAAACCCGUCCGACGCCUCAGCACGCCAAACUUGGAAAUCAUCAUGAGGUACCUCCGACAACGGAAUACUCAGAAUCUUCUUGGCAACAUUCUCCGGAAAGGUAGCUUCUAUUAACUCCUUCUUCCAUG